AGAGUUUGAUCCUGGCUCAGAACGAACGCUGGCGGCAUGCCUAACACAUGCAAGUCGAACGAGACCUUCGGGUCUAGUGGCGCACGGGUGCGUAACGCGUGGGAACCUGCCCUUCGGUUCGGAACAACAGUUAGAAAUGACUGCUAAUACCGGAUAAUGACGUAAGUCCAAAGAUUUAUCGCCGAAGGAUGAGCCCGCGUAAGAUUAGGUAGUUGGUGGGGUAAUGGCCUACCAAGCCGACGAUCUUUAGCUGGUCUGAGAGGAUGAUCAGCCACACUGGGACUGAGACACGGCCCAGACUCCUACGGGAGGCAGCAGUGGGGAAUAUUGGACAAUGGGCGAAAGCCUGAUCCAGCAAUGCCGCGUGAGUGAUGAAGGCCUUAGGGUUGUAAAGCUCUUUACCAGGGAUGAUAAUGACAGUACCUGGAGAAUAAGCUCCGGCUAACUCCGUG
rnacentral:rRNA from 1 species